GAUGACAGGACCAGGCCUUGCACUGUGCCAGUUGGGAGCUGCGGAGGUCUCCCCAGGACUGCAGCGUACACCUAGGGCCAUGUGCUCUGUGGGGCUGAGCCUUGUGAUGUUUCCCUAGUCACAGGGUCCCUAGGGCGAGUGAGGAAGGGCCUGUGGGGGGAGAUCAGUGCCCUGAGCUGACUGAGGUCACUUUAAGAGUGGGUGGUACAUUUGGGGGAGCUGGAAUCCUUGGGGGCAUGGCUGUAGCCCCUGAAGAACAGAAGUGACAAUUAUAAUUAGUGGUUUUUAAAAUUUAUUUUAUUUUAUGUACAUUGUUGACUUGAGUGCAUGUAUGUCUGUGCUAUGUGGGUACUGGGAAUUGAACCUAGAUGCUCUGCAAGAGUGCUUUCAACCACUGAGCCAUCUCUCCAGCACCCCCAAAGUUGGUGGUCAGUGCUGAAGCUGGCUCCCCAGCCCGUGUUUCAGCAAAUCCGGGGCUUCCUAACCUGGCACCUCCUCUCCAACCUCAGGACCUUGACACAGGUUGCUCAGGUGCCCUCACCAGAUCCCUGUGUGUGGCCCCAUCCCCCUCACCAGAUCCCUGUGUGUGGUCCCAUCCCCCUCACCAGAUCCCUGUGUAUGGUCCCAUCCCCCUCACCAGAUCCCUGUGUGUGGUCCCAUCCCACUGCCUGGUUUGGCUCUUCCACCACCUGCUGCAAGUUUCCCUAGGCCCUACACCCCCCAUUCCCUCUACUCUGUUUCAUCCUGAUCGCUGCCCAUUGCUCCCACCCAUGGCCCUGAAAUGCAGAAUUGUCCUAGGCUGGUUCUCCACUGUGACCUUGGUGCACACAGGCCCAGAAUGUACCGGGUGAGGAGAGGAAGGGCAUCAUUCUGAACCUGUCAUCCUAUAAUGAGGGAGGGGGCUAUCGAUAUUGAGGACCCUAUAUCAAAACACUAAACCAGCACAUGGGUAGAGUCAGGGUGAGGGGAUGGUGGUGCCAGGGCAGCAUAACUCAGGAUAAAAUAGCAAGGCUGUUUGGAUACUUAAAGAAGAGAUGUGUUCUUUUGACCUCCCUACCCUCUCCCCAAGCCCAGCUGUUGAUGACCACAAAGUCUGGUUUUCUGGGUGCUGGGGAUGGAGCCCAGGGCUCCCCGCAGCUAAGCCGCAGAUACAGUCCUAUGUUUACUCUGUGAGACAGGGUCUUGCUCUAUAAUUCGCUCUCUUCAUGGACUUCGCUGAAUGAUGCCAUACCUGGAGCUGCUGGGGCUGGAGCAUGGGGCACAGUGAAUGCAGAGGGUUCCACCCAUUGGUCCACAGCCCACAAGGUCUCCCUCUGUCUCUGAGCCUAGCUGGCUGACAGUACACAGCUCAGGCCUUAGACCUCCCCACAGCUGGAAUGCCAGCUCUGAGCAAGCCCUGAGCCAGCCUGUGAGCUGCAGCAAGCUUGGUGGCCCACACCUUUAAUCCCAGCACUCAGGAGGCAGGCAGAGCUCUGUGAGUUUGAGGCCAGCCUGGUCACCAUAGUUUCAUGAUAGCCAGGGCUACACAGAGAAACCUGUCUUGAAAAGUCGAAACACAAACAACAUAUUUAUUAGGGGUGAGGCACAUGUACCACUGCAUACAUGCGGAGUUCGAGUGUCAGGAGUCUGUUCUCCCGGGGCCUGAAUUCAGGUUAUCAGGCUUGGAGGCAAGUGUCUACUCACUGGGCCGUCUGGCUGGCCCUACUGUAGCCAACUUUUUAAAUGCUUCUCUGUCGUGUUUUGUGAUAACCGUCCCUGUCACUAUCAGUCAUUCUAACUUGUAUAAAUGUACAUUUGUUAUAAAGAUGAAUAUUUAAAUCUUCUGU
rnacentral:lncRNA from 1 species